GACGAACGCUGGCGGCGUGCUUAACACAUGCAAGUCGAACGGAAAGGCCCUGCUUUUGUGGGGUGCUCGAGUGGCGAACGGGUGAGUAACACGUGAGUAACCUGCCCUUGACUUUGGGAUAACUUCAGGAAACUGGGGCUAAUACCGGUUAGGAGCUCCUGCUGCAUGGUGGGGGUUGGAAAGUUUCGGCGGUUGGGGAUGGACUCGCGGCUUAUCAGCUUGUUGGUGGGGUAGUGGCUUACCAAGGCUUUGACGGGUAGCCGGCCUGAGAGGGUGACCGGCCACAUUGGGACUGAGAUACGGCCCAGACUCCUACGGGAGGCAGCAGUGGAGAAUAUUGCACAAUGGGCGGAAGCCUGAUGCAGCAACGCCGCGUGCGGGAUGACGGCCUUCGGGUUGUAAACCGCUUUCGCCUGUGACGAAGCGUGAGUGACGGUAAUGGGUAAAGAAGCACCGGCUAACUACGUG
rnacentral:rRNA from 1 species